GCCAAUGCUCGGGGAGAUCCCGCGUCCGGGCGGGCCGUCAGGAGCGCGGCCGUGGGGGGCGGAGCUUCGAGGCGCAGGGCCGGACGCCGUGAGUGCGGACGUUAGGGGCGGGGCUUCGGGAGGAGCGACGGGAGUGCCGGGUGUCGGGGGCGGGGCGUCAGGAUGGAGUGACGGGAGCGCGGGCGUCGGGAGCGCGCGAUCCUGGUGAGUCGCCGCCGAGCGCCCCGAAGUGGCAGACCUGGGGGUCCGGUUCUGUGAGCAGAGCCAUGGAGCAAGAGGGGGACGCCGGCCCAGAGGUGCAGAACCUGAGGAUUCCAGUGAGGAAUCAGCCUUAAAAUUCCCAGUUAUGGCCACUUCAGGACAAGGAGAAAGGGUCCUUUUAACAUCUGCCCCGCAGCAACUCCUUGAAGCCUGCUGCAUGUGGGGGUGGUGUGUGGGGCCUGUUUUCCCCUUGUCAGGGCUGAGGCCCUCCCUCCUCUUCCCCAAGGUCACUCUUGUGAGUUCCUGCUUCCCCUUAGGAAGUCUGCUUGCUUUGUCUUAGGGCCUUUUACCCGUGGAACAUAUAUAGCCACAUUACAAGGGCCUUUAUCUCUAAACCAGAAAUGUAGAUGCAUUAAAACCGUGAAAAGCUGGAAAGUCUGAGAUGCCUAACCACAAGAGACUGUAUAAAUAGGCCUGGGGCGUCCCCGUGACCCUUCCUGUGGACAGCCCUAGCUGCCCCCCAGGGGGUGGCUGAGCUCGGAGAGACACACUUAGGAGGAGGGUGCUCAUCUGCUGCCUGGUGGAUGUCGUCUUUAGCCAAGCACGCAGUCUGGGCCGGGGGGCCUGGACGCCUCACUGUGAAGCAGAAGCUCCCACUGCUUCCAUCUGCCUCCUGAGCUGAGUUCAAAGGGUUGAGCUUUCUGAAUCACUUCCUUAUUCUGUCUCGAUGUGACAUUCUGCUUUUGAAAUGCUUUUCUGAGCGCAUUGAUUUCCUUGGGUUUUCUGGCAUCGAUGCUGUGUGUGAUCCUGGCUCUGAAGGAUCAGGCAAGCUGCUUUAGUCCUUGGCACUUGUGUAGAAACUUGAAAGGAUUAACAAGUCCCCCCACCACUCCCCCAAAGCCAUCCUGUUCCUGGCUGCUUGGAAGGAGGCGUGCUUCUACCUGGCCACCCUUCGGUCCUGGGGUCUGCAGCUGACGGAGCAGCGUUCCCAGUCCACCAGCUGGUGGUUGUUGCAACUGAAAUCCUCCUGGCCCUGGCCCUGGACCUUAUCGGCAUGACCAUCUUUUUUUUUUUUUUUUUUUUUUUUUUUUUUGCUGUACGCGGGCCUCUCACUGUUGUGGC